GCCUGACUGGCUACCCUCUUGCCAAGAGAUUUUCUCUGGCAAAUCCUUCUGUGCUCCUUCCCUCCAAGCCAAUGCCCCUCAUCCCAAGGAGCUCUUCCAAGCCAAUGAAGAGCUGCAUCGGAGAGCAUGUUACUGGGAAAAGUGGCACUGGCAAUGACGAUGACACCAGAAAAGAACAAGAGUCACGUUCAGAAGAAAAAGGACAUAAGGCUUCCUUGCUGUAUCCCACUGCAGGGGAUAAGAAGAAGGGGUCACUGGGAUUGUCUUUGAUCCCCCAGUUACGCAGGACAUUAAGCAGUGCUGCAGGAUCUCGGAAAAGCUCUCUGCAGCUGGAUGUGCAAGAGUCCCAGGAGAUGAGGUCCACACCCAGCAGCAGAAGUGAAGAUGAUGACUCUGAAGAAGGAGGACUUACUGGCUACCCUCUUGCCAAGAGGAUUUUCUCUGGCAAAUCCUUCUGUGCUCCUUCCCUCCAAGCCAAUGCCCCUCAUCCCAAGGAGCUCUUCCAAGCCAAUGAAGAGCUGCAUCGGAGAGCACGUUACUGGGAAAAGUGGCACUGGCAAUGACAAUGACAGUGGAAAAGAACAGGAGUCACGUUCAGAGGGAAAAGGACGUAAGGCUUCCUUGCUGUAUCACACUGAAGGGGAUAUGAAGAAGGAGUCAUUGGGUCUCCCUCUGAUCCCCCCGAUACGCAGGGCAGUAAGUCCCGAUGUUGGCAGUGCUGCAGGGUCUCUGCAAAGCUCUCUGCAGCUGGAUGUGCAAGAGUCCCAGGAGAUGAGGUAAGCCAAGGUGUCUGCUGCUCCAGUGUGCUGUUCACCUCGCUCUUCCCAUCUCGUGAGGUUAUUUUGCACAGUCAGCUCUCCCAUGUAUUUAGGCAAACCUCUGUGUAUUCAGCAUUUGGCCCUAUCUGUGGUGAUCCAGCCCAAUGUCAAACCCAGCACCAUAUGGCCCAAGAGCAGAGGUGGUGGUGGUGGGGAAGAGGAGGCAGGGCUGAAAGGCUCCUCAAGACAGGUCCUCUUCUGGACCUGGCUGUUGAUUCCCUCUGUAAUGUUUGUGGUGUCAUUUGGGGACUGUAUUGCAUGGGUCUGGAUGCUGCAGAUCUUUGAAUGCUGUGAUCCUUCACUGUCAACUUCUGCAGCCACAAGAAUAUGACUGGACAAAUAUUGGCAAUUGUUAAGCUGUCUGCAAAUUCCGGUGCUCAUUCUCUAAAGUCAGGCGCCAUAGUUCAUGUGCCAGCAUUUAGAAAACAAUAAAAUUCUUUUUUUAAAAAUAUACUGACA
rnacentral:lncRNA from 1 species